rnacentral:rRNA from 1 species
GGUUAAUAUUCCUGUACUUGGUGUUACUGCGAAGGGGGGACGGAGAAGGCUAUGUUGGCCGGGCGACGGUUGUCCCGGUUUAAGCGUGUAGGCUGGUUUUCCAGGCAAAUCCGGAAAAUCAAGGCUGAGGCGUGAUGACGAGGCACUACGGUGCUGAAGCAACAAAUGCCCUGCUUCCAGGAAAAGCCUCUAAGCAUCAGGUAACAUCAAAUCGUACCCCAAACCGACACAGGUGGUCAGGUAGAGAAUACCAAGGCGCUUGAGAGAACUCGGGUGAAGGAACUAGGCAAAAUGGUGCCGUAACUUCGGGAGAAGGCACGC